GACGAACGCUGGCGGCGUGCUUAACACAUGCAAGUCGAACGGAAAGGCCCUGCUUUUGUGGGGUGCUCGAGUGGCGAACGGGUGAGUAACACGUGAGUAACCUGCCCUUGACUUUGGGAUAACUUCAGGAAACUGGGGCUAAUACCGGAUAGGAGCUCCUGCUGCAUGGUGGGGGUUGGAAAGUUUCGGCGGUUGGGGAUUGACUCGCGGCUUAUCAGCUUGUUGGUGGGGUAGUGGCUUACCAAGGCUUUGACGGGUAGCCGGCCUGAGAGGGUGACCGGCCAAAUUGGGACUGAGAGACGGCCCAGACUCCUACGGGAGGCAGCAGUGGGGAAUAUUGCACAAUGGGCGGAAGCCUGAUGCAGAAACGCCGCGUGCGGGAUGACGGCCUUCGGGUUGUAAACCGCUUUCGCCUGUGACGAAGCGUGAGUGACGGUAAUGGGUAAAGAAGCACCGGCUAACUACGUG
rnacentral:rRNA from 1 species